ACGCUGGCGGCGUGCUAACACAUGCAGUCGAACGAGAAAGCGACUUCGGUUGGUGAGUAAGUGGCGAACGGGUGAGUACGCGUGGGUAUCUGCCCAUUGGUUGGGGGAUAACUUGCCGAAAGGUGAGCUAAUACCGCAUAAGCUCUACGGAGGAAAGCCUUCGGGCGCCGAUGGAGGAGCCCGCGUCCGAUUAGCUGGUUGGUAGGGUAAGAGCCUACCAAGGCGACGAUUGGUAGCCGGUCUGAGAGGACGGACGGNCACACUGGGACUGAGACACGGCCCAGACUCCUACGGGAGGCAGCAGUGGGGAAUUUUGGGCAAUGGGCGCAAGCCUGACCCAGCAACGCCGCGUGGAGGAUGAAGGUUUUCGGAUCGUAAACUCCUGUCCAGAGGGACGAAGCAAGUGACGGUACCUCUGGAGGAAGCCCCGGCUAACUCCGUGCCAGCAGCCGCGGUAAUACGGGGGGGGCCAGCGUUGUUCGGAAUUACUGGGCGUAAAGGGCGCGUAGGCGGCUUCGGAAGUCAUGGGUGAAAGCCCCGGGCUCAACUCGGGAAUAGCCUGUGAAACCACGGAGCUGGAGUGCUGGAGAGGAAAGCGGAAUUCCCAGUGUAGCGGUGAAAUGCGUAGAUAUUGGGAGGAACACCUGUGGCGAAGGCGGCUUUCUGGACAGACACUGACGCUGAGGCGCGAAAGCCAGGGGAGCGAACGGGAUUAGAUACCCCGGUAGUCCUGGCUGUAAACGAUGAACACUUGGUGUGGGGGGUAUUGAUUCCCUCUGUGCCGGCGAAAACUCAUUAAGUGUUCCGCCUGGGGAGUACGGCCGCAAGGCUGAAACUCAAAGGAAUUGACGGGGGCCCGCACAAGCGGUGGAGCAUGUGGUUUAAUUCGACGCAACGCGAAGAGCCUUACCGGGGUUUGAACCGGCCGGGCGACCUGCAGAGAUGUGGGGUUCCUUUCGGGGACUCGGCUGGAGGUGCUGCAUGGCUGUCGUCAGCUCGUGUCGUGAGAUGUUGGGUUAAGUCCCGCAACGAGCGCAACCCUUGUCUGUAGUUGCCAUCAGGUUAAGCUGGGCACUCUACGGAGACUGUCGGCGAAAAGCCGGAGGAAGGUGGGGAUGACGUCAAGU
rnacentral:rRNA from 1 species